CACCUUUUGACAUGCCUGGACCGCCAGAGAGAUCUGGCUUUCCCUUCGGGGACUAGGACACAGGUGCUGCAUGGCUGUCGUCAGCUCGUGUCGUGAGAUGUUGGGUUAAGUCCCGCAACGAGCGCAACCCUCGCCAUUAGUUGCCAUCAUUUAGUUGGGAACUCUAAUGGGACUGCCGGUGCUAAGCCGGAGGAAGGUGGGGAUGACGUCAAGUCCUCAUGGCCCUUACAGGGUGGGCUACACACGUGCUACAAUGGCGACUACAGAGGGUUAAUCCUUAAAAGUCGUCUCAGUUCGGAUUGUCCUCUGCAACUCGAGGGCAUGAAGUUGGAAUCGCUAGUAAUCGCGGAUCAGCAUGCCGCGGUGAAUACGUUCCC
rnacentral:rRNA from 1 species